GAUGAACGCUAGCGGCAGGCCUAACACAUGCAAGUCGAGGGGCAGCACAGGUAGCAAUACUGGGUGGCGACCGGCGGAUGGGUGCGUAACGCGUAUGCAACCUACCAUUGAUUGGGGCAUAGCCCGAAGAAAUUCGGAUUAAUACUCCAUAAUAUUCAUCAAAGGCAUCUUUUAUGAAUUAAAGCUUUUGCGAUCAAUGAUGGGCAUGCGUGACAUUAGUUAGUUGGUGAGGUAACGGCUCACCAAAACGAUGAUGUCUAGGGGUUCUGAGAGGAUUAUCCCCCACACUGGUACUGAGACACGGACCAGACUCCUACGGGAGGCAGCAGUGAGGAAUAUUGGUCAAUGGACGCAAGUCUGAACCAGCCAUGCCGCGUGCAGGAUGACGGCCCCUAUGGGUUGUAAACUGCUUUUCCACGGGAAGAACCCUCCGACGUGUCGGAGACUGACGGUACCGUGGGAAUAAGCAUCGGCUAACUCCGUGCC
rnacentral:rRNA from 1 species